rnacentral:rRNA from 1 species
GACGAACGCUGGCGGCAUGCCUAAUACAUGCAAGUCGUGCGAAUUGACGAAGUACUUGUACUUCUGACGUUAGCGGCGAACGGGUGAGUAACACGUAAGGAAUCUACCUAUAAGCGGGGGAUAACAUUCGGAAACGGAUGCUAAUACCGCAUAAUACAUAUUUCCGCAUGGAAAUACGUUGAAAGACGGCUCUGCUGUCACUUAUAGAUGACCUUGCGGUGCAUUAGUUAGUUGGUGGGGUAAUGGCCUACCAAGACAAUGAUGCAUAGCCGACCUGAGAGAGUGAUCGGCCACAUUGGGACUGAGACACGGCCCAAACUCCUACGGGAGGCAGCAGUAGGGAAUCUUCCGCAAUGGGCGAAAGCCUGACGGAGCAAUGCCGCGUGAGUGAAGAAGGCCUUCGGGUCGUAAAACUCUGUUAUAAGAGAAGAACAAAUUGUAGAGUAACUGCUACAGUCUUGACGGUAUCUUAUCAGAAAGCCACGGCUAACUACGUGCCAGCCGCCGCAGUAACAC